rnacentral:tRNA from 1 species
GCCUGCAUGGCUUAGUUGGUUAAGCAUCUGACUCUUGGUUUUGUCUUGGGUCAUGAUCUCAUGGUUUGUGAGUUCGAGCCUCAUGGCGGGCU